rnacentral:rRNA from 1 species
AGGACGAACGCUGGCGGCGUGCUUAACACAUGCAAGUCGAGCGGACACCAUCCGGUGGCAACACUGGUGAAGUGUUAGCGGCGAACGGGUGAGUAACACGUGAGCAACCUGCCCCCAAGUCUGGGGCAAGCCUGGGAAACCGGGUCUAAUACCGGAUGCCCUCUUCGGAUCGCAUGGUCUGAUGAGGAAAGAAUUUCGCUUGGGGAGGGACUCGCGGCCUAUCAGCUUGUGUGGGUAAUGGCCUACCAAGGCUUCGACGGGUAGCUGGUCUGAGAGGACGACCAGCCACACUGGGACUGAGACACGGCCCAGACUCCUACGGGAGGCAGCAGUGGGGAAUCUUGCGCAAUGGGCGAAAGCCUGACGCAGCAACGCCGCGUGCGGGAUGAAGGCUCUCGGGUCGUAAACCGCUUUCAGUGGGAACGAUGAUGACGGUACCGCAAGAAUAAGCCCCGGCUAACUUCGUGCCAGCAGCCGC